rnacentral:rRNA from 1 species
ACGGAGGAUGCAAGCGUUAUCCGGAUUUAUUGGGUUUAAAGGGAGCGCAGACGGGUCGUUAAGUCAGCUGUGAAAGUUUGGGGCUCAACCUUAAAAUUGCAGUUGAUACUGGCGUCCUUGAGUGCGGUUGAGGUGUGCGGAAUUCGUGGUGUAGCGGUGAAAUGCUUAGAUAUCACGAAGAACUCCGAUUGCGAAGGCAGCACACUAAGCCGUAACUGACGUUCAUGCUCGAAAGUGUGGGUAUCAAACAGGAUUAGAUACCCUGGUAGUCCACACGGUAAACGAUGGAUACUCGCUGUUGGCGAUAUACGGUCAGCGGCUUAGCGAAAGCGUUAAGUAUCCCACCUGGGGAGUACGCCGGCAACGGUG